UACGAAGGGUGCAAACGUUGCUCGGAAUUAUUGGGCGUAAAGCGCACGUAGGCGGCUUUGCAAGUCGGAUGUGAAAUCCCUCGGCUUAACCAAGGAAGUGCAUCCGAAACUGCAGAGCUUGAGUACUUAAGAGGAUCGCGGAAUUCCCGGUGUAGAGGUGAAAUUCGUAGAUAUCGGGAGGAACACCAGUGGCGAAGGCGGCGAUCUGGGCCGAUACUGACGCUGAGGAGCGAAAGCGUGGGAGCGAACAGG
rnacentral:rRNA from 1 species